AGGCAUGCACCACCACACCCGGCUAAUUUUGUAUAUUUAGUAGAGACAGGGUUUCUCCAUGUUGGUCAGGUUGGUCUCGAACUCCCGACCUCAGGUGAUCCGCCCGCCUCUACCUCCCAAACUGCUGAGAUUACAGGCGUGAGCCACAGCGCCUGGCUCAGGAGAUUUCCUACAGCUCAAAAUUUGUAAGGCAAAGAGAUGACCACAGGUCUUGUGAGAGUGGCGAGCGACCUCGGCUCUCUUAGUCCCGCCUGGCCCACCAGGCACUGCACAGUACGGUAGAGGCCCCGCCCGACCCAGCCCUUGAAUCGGCCUGUUGCAAUCACUAUCAACCCGCCAAUUCUGGCCCCUCCCCUGUCUUCCGGGUUCACUCACUUCCUGCCGGGCCCAGGCUCAGGCCCCGCCUCCGUCUUGUUUGGAGGAAUCCAAUCGAACCUGGAGGGCUGCGCUCCGCCCUAUGCCUCGCCCGCCUCUUCCAGGAGCAAUCAGAAUCAACUCAGGCCCCGCCCCCGCUUCGGUCCGCCGAGACCACGCCCCUUCGGCGCAAUCAGGCCGUCUGCUGGCCCCGCCCCCUAAAGCCCCGCCCUGUCGAAUCUUAUCCCUGCGCUGCUUCUGCGGCUGCAUCUUCCAGACUCCGCCCCGCGCGCGGAGCUGCAGCCAUGGCAGUCACCGCCCAGGGAGCCCGCAGGAAGGAGCGGGUCCUCUGCCUGUUUGACGUGGACGGGACCCUCACGCCGGCUCGCCAGAAAAUUGACCCUGAGGUGGCCGCCUUCCUGCAGAAGCUGCGAAGUAGAGUGCAGAUCGGUGUGGUGGGCGGCUCUGACUACUCUAAGAUCGCUGAGCAGCUGGGUGACGGCGAUGAAGUCAUUGAGAAGUUUGAUUAUGUGUUUGCUGAGAACGGGACAGUGCAAUAUAAGCACGGACGACUGCUCUCCAAGCAGACCAUCCAGAACCACCUGGGGGAGGAGCUGUUGCAGGACUUGAUCAACUUCUGCCUCAGCUACAUGGCCCUGCUCAGGCUGCCCAAGAAGCGUGGAACCUUCAUUGAGUUCCGGAAUGGCAUGCUGAACAUCUCGCCCAUCGGCCGGAGCUGCACCCUGGAGGAACGGAUCGAGUUCUCCGAACUGGACAAGAAAGAGAAGAUCCGGGAGAAGUUCGUGGAAGCCCUGAAAACAGAGUUUGCCGGCAAAGGGCUGAGGUUCUCCCGAGGAGGCAUGAUCAGCUUUGACGUCUUCCCCGAGGGCUGGGACAAGCGCUACUGCCUGGAUAGCCUGGACCAGGACAGCUUCGACACCAUCCACUUCUUUGGGAACGAGACCAGCCCUGGUGGGAACGACUUUGAGAUCUUUGCUGACCCCCGGACUGUUGGCCACAGCGUGGUGUCUCCUCAGGACACAGUGCAGCGAUGCCGGGAGAUUUUCUUCCCAGAGACAGCCCAUGAGGCGUGACCGGGGCCCACAUCUGUGCGUUGUGACUUCUGAAGAGUUUGGCCUAGGCCUAAAGAGAGGUCCUGGUGUUGGAUAGAUGCCAGGGCCCCUCCUCUGGCCCAGGACGCCUGCUGCAAGGCCCACCCGAAUGGGGCCAGAGUCUGUGUGGACAACCGACCCUAGCCAGUCAGCUCCUAGUGGCACUGGCUCCGUCCUCGCAGAGCCCAGAGUGUUCCCCAUGCUCCACCUGGUGGCUGAGGCCACAGCUGCUGCUUGUAUUCCAGUACAGAACAGGUUUCUGCGCCAGGAGGAGGCGUGCACAAGUGUCGGUACGAGAUCUAGCCUGCCCUGCUUGCCUGUCCUGGACAGUGGGGUAUGGUGGCGUAGGUGCCUAUUCCCUGGACAGUGGGGUGUGGUGACGUAGGUGCCUAUUCCCUGGACGGUGGGGUAUGGUGGUGCAGGCGCCUAUUCCCCGGAUGGUGGGGUGUGGUGACGUAGGUGCCUAUUCCCUGGAUGGUGGGGUAUGGUGACAUAGGCGCCUGUUCCCUGGACGGUGGGGUAUGGUGACAUAGGCGCCUGUUCCUGGACGGUGGGGUAUGGUGGUGCAGGUGCCUAUUCCCUGGACAGUGGGGUAUGGUGGCGCAGGUGCCUAUUCCCUGGACGGUGGGGUAUGGUGACAUAGGCGCCUGUUCCUGGACGGUGGGUUAUGGUGGUGCAGGUGCCUAUUCCCUGGACGGUGGGGUAUGGUGGCGCAGGCGCCUAUUUUAGAGAACUUUGUCACAGUAUUAAAUUUCCCAGAACAAA